AAGGUUACCAAAAUAUUUUUAUAUUUUAUGGUCCUCUAGGCUCUCAUGGUCUGUUAGAUUUAUGUUAAUAUGUAAUGUGAUUCUUCUAUGAUCUUUUAUUUCUUUUAAAGUUUACUCGUGUUUCAUUGAGGUUUCUGUUCUUCAAGUUGAAGUUUGUGUCAUUAAUCUGUUCUUGUAACAUUUUUCUGCAGAUAAUAAUAAUAUCUUGACCAUCGUUAGCCUGUGGGCCCCUGUUAUCGCUAUUUAUCUCAUGGACAUUCACAUAUGGUACACUCUAUUGUCAGCAAUUAUUGGCGGUGUCAUGGGGCGAGGGCUCAGUUAGGCGAGAUACGCUCCACUGAAAUGGUGCACAAACGUUUUGAGAGCUUCCUAGAAGCCUUUGCCAAGAACCUUGUUUCACCACAAAUCAAGAGGAUGCCAUUUGAUAGACAAUCACCUGAGUUGAUGACGAGUGGAGCUUGCUAGUGUGGAGCAUUGGGGACCAUGGGUACACGCGUGCUGGAACGUUGGUGCUGGCGUGAAGGAAGCUGCUGGGAUUUGGUGGCACAGUGACUGGGAUUGGAGGCUGUUGGAGAGCUUGUUGAUGGCAGCAAUAGUAACCAUGACAUUGAAUGCCCCGGAUAUUUAGGGAUUUACAUUCCUUCUUUUUUUUAUUUUUUUAUUUUAUUUUUUUUUAA